GACGAACGCUGGCGGCGUGCUUAACACAUGCAAGUCGAACGGAAAGGCCCGGCGCUUGUGGGGUGCUCGAGUGGCGAACGGGUGAGUAACACGUGAGUAACCUGCCCUUGACUGUGGGAUAACUUCAGGAAACUGGGGCUAAUACCGGAUAGGAUCUCCUGCUGCAUGGGGGGGGAUGGAAAGAUUCGGCGGUGGGGGAUGGUUUCGCGGCUUAUGCGCUUGUUGGUGGGGUAGUGGCAUACCAAGGCUUUGACGGGUAGCCGGCCUGAGAGGGUGACCGGCCACCUUGGGACUGAGAUACGGCCCAGUCUCCUACGGGCGGCAGCAGGGGGGAAUCUUGCACAAUGGGCGGAAGCCUGAUGCAGCGACGCCGCGUGCGGGAUGACGGCCUUCGGGUUGUAAACCGCUUUCGCCUGUGCCGAAGCGUGAGUGACGGUAAUGGGUAAAGAAGCACCGGCUAACUACGUG
rnacentral:rRNA from 1 species